CGCUUUCUCGCCUCCUGGCUCUCUUAAGAUGCAAAAUCAGGACCUCAACUCCCAGAAGUCUCCGCCAAUUUGGCCAACUGCCAGGAAUUCUGGGAGGUGUAGUCCAGAAGACCUGGAAGGACCCAGGAUUGGGAAGCACUGCAGAAAAUGACAAGCAAAGAUGAAGUACUUUGGCCACAUAAUGAGAAGACAGGAAAGCUUGGAGAAGAGAAUGAUGCUGAGGAAAAAGGAAGGAAAAAGGAAGAGGGGCUGACCAAGGGCAAGAUGGAUGGAUGGUAUCCUUGAAGUGACUGGCUUGACCUUGAAGGAGCUUGAGGUGGUGACGCCGACAGGGAGCUCAGGCGUGGGCUGGCCCAUGAGGUCACAGAGUCAGAAACAACUAAACGAAUAAACAGCAACCUGGGUUAUCUGGGGACUCAUAUAUUCCAGUUUAAAGCAGAUAAUCUGGGAUCAGAUCCUGGGAUAAAGGGCAGCUUGGAAGGGCCCAGAAACAGUAACAAGAAGUUAUCUGCCUCUCAGUACCUUGGGACUUAUUUGCCUCUCUCAAGCUGUGAGAGGCAGAUAACUCCCAAGGUGUUUGGACUAGGCACAGAUAAGAUGAAAAGCCAUAAAAGUGCAUAUAUUAAGAACAGAACAAAGUUUAAAAUACCAAUACUCAUGAAAAAAUUUACAUUCGUAGUUUAAGUAGGGCUACAGCACAUAACAUUUGUAGUCUCCCUGAACUGGCUUUGGUUCCAAAGUCUGGGGCCUUAGUUUGCUAUGGAAACUUGCUGGGCUCUUGAUCUUUUUACAUCUAGCGCACAAGGUAAUCCCCACAAAUGAAAAUCUGAGUAAAGAUGUCACUAAAAAAUAGCCACUGUGUUCCCCACGUGUCUUCUCAAUUCAAGUUGCCUACUAUCAGAAGCCUGUCUCCCAUCAAGCACUAACCAAGAUCAGGUGGGAUCUGGUCCCUUAGGCCCCAUCCAUGGACAGAUUCACAGCAGAAGUGGGACAUUAGUGGGAGUAGCUGCUUUUGAAUGAAUGAAUGAAUCUAAAGGCACACUCAUGUGCACUAAAAGGAGAAAAGAGCCAUCCUACUGCACAAAUAAAACGACAAGGAUGA